rnacentral:rRNA from 1 species
GAUGAACGCUGGCGGCGUGCCUAAUACAUGCAAGUCGAGCGAACGGACGAGAAGCUUGCUUCUCUGAUGUUAGCGGCGGACGGGUGAGUAACACGUGGAUAACCUACCUAUAAGACUGGGAUAACUUCGGGAAACCGGAGCUAAUACCGGAUAAUAUUUUGAACCGCAUGGUUCAAAAGUGAAAGACGGUCUUGCUGUCACUUAUAGAUGGAUCCGCGCUGCAUUAGCUAGUUGGUAAGGUAACGGCUUACCAAGGCAACGAUGCAUAGCCGACCUGAGAGGGUGAUCGGCCACACUGGAACUGAGACACGGUCCAGACUCCUACGGGAGGCAGCAGUAGGGAAUCUUCCGCAAUGGGCGAAAGCCUGACGGAGCAACGCCGCGUGAGUGAUGAAGGUCUUCGGAUCGUAAAACUCUGUUAUUAGGGAAGAACAUAUGUGUAAGUAACUGUGCACAUCUUGACGGUACCUAAUCAGAAAGCCACGGCUAACUACGUGCCAGCAGCCGCGGUAAUACGUAGGUGGCAAGCGUUAUCCGGAAUUAUUGGGCGUAAAGCGCGCGUAGGCGGCUUUUUAAGUCUGAUGUGAAAGCCCACGGCUCAACCGUGGAGGGUCAUUGGAAACUGGAAAACUUGAGUGCAGAAGAGGAAAGUGGAAUUCCAUGUGUAGCGGUGAAAUGCGCAGAGAUAUGGAGGAACACCAGUGGCGAAGGCGACUUUCUGGUCUGUAACUGACGCUGAUGUGCGAAAGCGUGGGGAUCAAACAGGAUUAGAUACCCUGGUAGUCCACGCCGUAAACGAUGAGUGCUAAGUGUUAGGGGGUUUCCGCCCCUUAGUGCUGCAGCUAACGCAUUAAGCACUCCGCCUGGGGAGUACGACCGCAAGGUUGAAACUCAAAGGAAUUGACGGGGACCCGCACAAGCGGUGGAGCAUGUGGUUUAAUUCGAAGCAACGCGAAGAACCUUACCAAAUCUUGACAUCCUUUGACAACUCUAGAGAUAGAGCUUUCCCCUUCGGGGGACAAAGUGACAGGUGGUGCAUGGUUGUCGUCAGCUCGUGUCGUGAGAUGUUGGGUUAAGUCCCGCAACGAGCGCAACCCUUAAGCUUAGUUGCCAUCAUUAAGUUGGGCACUCUAAGUUGACUGCCGGUGACAAACCGGAGGAAGGUGGGGAUGACGUCAAAUCAUCAUGCCCCUUAUGAUUUGGGCUACACACGUGCUACAAUGGACAAUACAAAGGGCAGCGAAACCGUGAGGUCAAGCAAAUCCCAUAAAGUUGUUCUCAGUUCGGAUUGUAGUCUGCAACUCGACUACAUGAAGCUGGAAUCGCUAGUAAUCGUAGAUCAGCAUGCUACGGUGAAUACGUUCCCGGGUCU